CAGUCCUCUCUAAUCAAGUCUAUUUCACUCCACUACAAGAAGUUCGUUGUAAGCAAAAUUAGAAGUUCUUUAAAACAAGAAGUUCUCUAAAUCUACACCUAACAACUAAACCUCAUGCAAGUUAGAAAUAUAACUACUAAACCUUAAGCAUAAUACAUUGGUAUCGCCUAUAUAGAUCCCUCACUUCUAUUGUGUCUUAAAACUUCCAAGAGAUUACGUGCUUUAUGGCUUCUCUAUAUGUGACUUUAGACUUGCCUCGUCCACUCUAACACUUUCCAUCAUCAAAUCAAAUCAUCAUUGCUUCAUCUGGAGGCCUACAUCGGACACGAUCAUACGCCAUCUAAACAACUCUGUUGUUUUAUUUAUGUGAUCUACUUGCACCCAUUAUCAAAAGUGACCAUCUCUAAUCUUAUCAUAUCUUGUAUGACUGCACAUCUAUCUUAAAAUCUAUACUUCUGCGACAUUUAUCCUGUGCCAUGUGUAUGAAAAAGUACAUGUGAUAUCUAAUCCUCUACCCUACCCCCCAAUACAGAUGCUUAGGUUUGAUUCACCAUAUAAUCACACCAUGGAAUUAAUUAUUUCUAUCCCUUUUUUGCAUUUUCCAUAGUUUUGUUAGACUAAAAUUUUUGGAGAAAAUGCUACCGGAUGUGCCUUUAUCUUUUUAUCCAGCAUUUCUCAGUUCCCCUCUAUGUUUGGACUAUCUUUUGUUACUUCUGAGAGAACCUCCAAAUGAUGGAUGGAGAUGAACUUGGGGACAAAAGAUCAAUGGUCCACUUAAUUCAUUUAAAGUAUUCUUGCAGAGAAAAAGGUACUAACUAAGCAUAUCUCAAAUAAAAAUCAUAAACUACUAGCAGAAGUAGAAAUUAAAAGGAAAUCAUAUGAGUCCCGUAAUUUAUAAACCCCUCGAAUACUAACAAGCCACCAAGGAUCCCUUUAGGAUCGUUUGGCCCGUGAGCAAGUUAUACAGGGAUUAUAAUGUGGGAAAUAUAAUACAGGGAUUAAAUGAUGACAAGAUUAUGCAACUUCCAGUGCUGCAGCAGAGCAGGUGCUUCAGCAGGUAAUUAUGCAACUACUUGUGACAAUUAUAUAAUGGAAGCUAUUCAUGCAUGUGUUUUAUUAAAUCUUUGCUAGUUAUUAAGUGGGAUUUUACAUCACAACAAAGGGCAACCUAAGAAGAUAUUUUUUUGUGAAGACAUUUACAUGGGAUUCCGCAAAACGGAGGAGAUAGUUCCCUCCCAAAGCAAUUAGCACAACUUUUGUAUGGGUCGCGGCAUGGGAUUCUACCAUAACAGCUUUGUUAAUGAGAAUGCACAUCAGCUGGUCUUUUGUGUUUGCUGAUACACUACAAACCGACAUCAAACUUAUGUUCUUUUUAAAAUUUAUUACAAUUAGAGGAAGAUAUUACAUAAGUGGGAAUCGAUUCUUCACCGCGGGGCUCACAGCCUCGCACCAUAUGAGCUAUCCUCCAAACAAUCUAUAUUGGCGUACCUAUACUGUGGUUUGACAUGCAUCUGUUGGGAAUAACUUGCCUAAUGACAUGUUUGGCCCUUUCCAUACUGAUUUUUUCCACACCUUGCAUACUGAUUAGAUAAGGUUAAAACCUCCACCCUGCACCCUAGGGUCCCCCACCAACUCAUCCAGUCUGAUUCAGAUUUCACAACACCAUCCAGUCCUCUCUAAUCAAGUCUAUUUCACUCCACUACAAGAAGUUCGUUGUAAGCCAAAUUAGAAGUUCUUUAAAACAAGAAGUUCUCUAAAUCUACACCUAACAACUAAACCUUAUGCAAGUUAGAAAUAUAACUACUAAACCUUAAGCAUAAUACAUUGGGAUCACCUAUAUAGAUCCCUCACUUCUAUUGUGUUGUAAAACU
rnacentral:lncRNA from 1 species